rnacentral:lncRNA from 1 species
GGAUAUUCCAGAGAGUUCUCUCAACUUCUCUCUCUUUCUCUCACUGUAUCUCUCAUUAUUUUGCCUUCAAUCUGUACGUUUUCAUGGUAUCAGAGCAGGAUGAUCCUCGGAUUCUUCUCCAUUACUUGUUAUCGAUCGUGUUGGAAGUUUUAUUGAAGGUUUUUUUUGGAUAUUUGUGAGAGAUUCUGUUUACCGAGAGAACGAUGUGUAUUGAACGGAUAUUCGAAACUUUUACCGCUGUUUAAUGCUUCGAUCUUCACUCAGUGGAUGUUUUGGGUGAUUUUCCGACAUCCCUGACCUUUUUCCGAUGACUUUCCAGAUUCUAGGGUUUCUGGUGGUUGAACCUAGGGUUUUACUCCUAUCCGAUGGGUAUUGAACGGAUAAUCAGAACUUUUAAUGUUGUUUAAUGCUUCGAUCUUCACUCAGUGGAUGUUUUUGGGUGAUUUUCCGACAUCCCUGACCUUUUUCCGGUGACUUUCCAGAUUCUAGUGUUUCUGGUGGUUGAACCUAGGGUUUUACUGCUAUCCGAUGGCUCGAUCCUCACUCGGUGGAUGUUUUGGGUGAUUUUCCGACGUCCCUGACCCUAUUCCGGUAAGUUUCCAGACCCUACGGUUUCCGGUGGUUGGACCUAGGGUUUUAUCAGGCGAUUGAAGAUCGUUCUUCUCCGGUCGCGAAGAAGGAAGGUAACUCUAUCCAUGUUAUAAGUGUUGUAUAUUUUGCAUGUGGGUUCUGAUUCAAUUUUAGCCUCUUUACUGAGACUGUUUUUUGAUUUCAAACUGGUUAUUGUUCAUGACUUCUAAUAUGAAUGUCAAUACCUCAUCAGUGGACUCUACCAGCCCCCUUUUUGUUUACUCCUCUGAUGUUCCUGGAGUUUCUCUUGUGUCCACUCCUUUCUCGGGCAAUGGUUAUGGGGGGUGGAGGAGGAAAAUGAUUGUCGCGUUAUCUGCUAAGAACAAAAUUGGUUUUGUUGAUGGCACAUGUCCCCGACCAGUCACUAAUGUGACUGAGCAAAGACUAUGAGAUAGAUGCAAUAAUAUGGUAAUUUCCUGGUUAACUGCCUCCGGAGCAAAGACUAUGGGACAAAUGCAAUAAUAUGGUAAUUUCCUGAUUAACUGCCUCCCUGUCCAUCAAAUUGCUGAAAGUGUGCAGUAUUCUGAUACUGCCCAGAGUAUAUGGUCCCAGCUUCGGCCAGAUAUGGCACUGCCAACAGGACCAAAAAUUUUGAACUAAAAAGAGAGCUUUCUCACACUUCUCAAGGGUCUCUAGAUGUUCAUAUUUUAACAAACUUAAAGAUCUGUGGGAUGAAUUAGAAAUAAUGUGUACAAAUCAUGGGCAAAGAUGUGUUUGUGCUGCCAAAAAUGGUAUAAUCCAGGAAGAUGAUGAGAAUAAGGUGUUUCAGUUUCUAAUGGGCCUUAAUGAACCAUACAUGGGGGUAAGGAGUAACCUAUUGAUGAUGCAACCACCUCCAACCCUAGAGAGUGUCUAUAAUAUGGUCCUCAAUGAUGAGAAGCAGAGACAAGUCCAGUCCCCUUCUCAGUUU